CCCUUAGAUGUUCUGGGCCGCACACGCGCUACACUGAAGGAGGCAGCGUGUACUCCUGGAUCGAAAGAUUUGGGUAACCCGCGAAUCUCCUUCGUGCUAGGGAUUGAGGUUUGCAAUUAUCCUUCAUGAACGAGGAAUUCCCAGUAAGUGCAAGUCAUAAGCUUGCGCUGACUACGUCCCUGCCCUUUGUACACACCGCCCGUCGCUACUACCGAUUGAAUGAUUUAGUGAGGACUUCGGACUGGGACCAAUGCGGCUUUCGGGCUGCGUCGGUAUUCUGGAAAGAUGUCCAAACUGUAUCAUUUAGAGGAAGUAAAANUCGUAACA
rnacentral:rRNA from 1 species